GAAGGAUCAUUACCGAGUGCGGGUCCUUCGGGGCCCAACCUCCCACCCGUGUCUACCGUACCGUGUUGCUUCGGCGGGCCCGCCGCAAGGCCGCCGGGGGGGCGUCCCCCCGGCCCGUGCCCGCCGGAGACCCUGUGAACGCUGAUCCGUGAAGGCGUGUCGUCUGAGUCGCGUGAGAAAUCGUGAAAACUUUCAACAACGGAUCUCUUGGUUCCGGCAUCGAUGAAGAACGCAGCGAAAUGCGAUAAGUAAUGUGAAUUGCAGAAUUCCGUGAAUCAUCGAAUCUUUGAACGCACAUUGCGCCCUCUGGUAUUCCGGGGGGCAUGCCUGUCCGAGCGUCAUUGCUGCCCUCAAGCACGGCUUGUGUGUUGGGCCGCCGUCCCCGCCCUCCGCGGGGGGACGGGCCCGAAAGGCAGCGGCGGCGCCGCGUCCGGUCCUCGAGCGUAUGGGGCUCUGUCACCCGCUCUGCAGGCCCGGCCGGCGCCCGCCGAGUCAACCACUUCUUUCCAGGUUGACCUCGGAUCAGGUAGGGAUACCCGCUGAACUUA
rnacentral:rRNA from 1 species